CACGUAGGGUGCGAGCGUUGUCCGGAAUUAUUGGGCGUAAAGAGCUCGUAGGCGGUGUGUCGCGUCGGCCGUGAAAACCUGCAGCUUAACUGUGGGCUUGCGGUCGAUACGGGCAUCACUGGAGUUCGGCAGGGGAGACUGGAAUUCCUGGUGUAGCGGUGAAAUGCGCAGAUAUCGGGAGGAACACCGGUGGCGAAGGCGGUUCUCUGGGCCUGUACUGACGCUGAGGAGCGAAAGCGUGGGGAGCGAACAGG
rnacentral:rRNA from 1 species